UACGUAGGGGGCUAGCGUUGUCCGGAUUUAUUGGGCGUAAAGAGCGUGUAGGCGGCCAAGUAGGUCCGUUGUGAAAACUCGAGGCUUAACCUCGAGAUGUCAUCGGAAACCAUUUGGCUAGAGUCCGGAAGAGGAAAGUGGAAUUCCUGGUGUAGCGGUGAAAUGCGCAGAUAUCAGGAAGAACACCAAUGGCGAAAGCAGCUCGCUGGGACGGUACUGACGCUGAGACGCGAAAGCGUGGGGAGCGAACAGG
rnacentral:rRNA from 1 species